rnacentral:rRNA from 1 species
AACGAACGCUGGCGGCAGGCCUAACACAUGCAAGUCGAGCGAGGACUUCGGUCCUAGCGGCGGACGGGUGCGUAACGCGAGGGAACGUGCCCUUUGCUUCGGAAUAGCCCUGGGAAACUGGGAGUAAUACCGGAUGAGCCCUUUGGGGGAAAGAUUUAUCGGCGAAGGAUCGGCCCGCGUUGGAUUAGGUAGUUGGUGGGGUAAUGGCCUACCAAGCCGACGAUCCAUAGCUGGUCUGAGAGGAUGAUCAGCCACACUGGGACUGAGACACGGCCCAGACUCCUACGGGAGGCAGCAGUGGGGAAUCUGAGACAAUGGGGGAAACCGUGAUCUAGCAAUGCCGCGUGAGCGAUGAAGGCCGUAGGGGUGUAAAGCUCUUUCAGCUGGGAAGAUAAUGACGGUACCAGCAGAAGAAGCCCCGGCUAACUCCGUG